rnacentral:misc_RNA from 1 species
ACCAGAAAGUCUUUAGGAAGGAUUCUUCUCAAAGGAGACAACAUUACCCUGAUGAUGAACACAGGGAAGUGAUGCUCAUCAGCAACUGUUGAGGCUGUAUUAUGUUUCUAUUUCGGAGGCCUGGAAGUUUGAGCUGUGUAGUGUGUCCUGAUAUAUUGAACACUAAAACAUGCUUUUUUUGGACUGACGAUUUUAGGUGAUAAAUGUAGGUAGGAUAUGAUUCAUGAAGUCCGAAUGUUCAAGCUAUGAGUUUUCUUUAUAUUCAACUUGGCAAUUAAUAUUUUGAUGCUAUUCGGGAUCGUCUUUUAUGUGAUGUACAAUGUUGUAAGCUCUUUGUAUGCGUUUGCUACGCUGAUAUUUCCUUCUUGAAGCCUGAAGAAAUAUGCUGCUCUGAGUAGGUGCUGUAAUUUUAUGUUUCAUGCCUAUAUAUGUAGCAGACUUGUCUUUCAAAAAGCUUACAACAUUGUACAUCACAUAAAAG